UAUUGCACAAUGGGCGCAAUCCUGAUGCAGCAACGCCGCGUGCGGGACGAAGGCCUUCGGGUCGUAAACCGCUUUUCUGGGGGAAGAGCAAGGACGGUACCUCAGGAAUAAGUCUCGGCUAACUACGUGCCAGCAGCCGCGGUAAAACGUAGGAGGCGAGCGUUAUCCGGAUUUACUGGGCGUAAAGCGCACGCAGGCGGCUCUGUUAGUCGGACGUGAAAGCUCUCGGCUUAACCGGGAGAGGCCGUUCGAUACUGGGGGCGUUGAGGUAGGGAGAGGAAUGCGGAACGCCCGGUGGAGUGGUGGAAUGCGUAGAUAUCGGGAGGAACACAUGUGGCGAAAGCGGCAUUCUGGCCCUCACCUGACGCUGAGGUGCGAAAGCGUGGGUAGCA
rnacentral:rRNA from 1 species